rnacentral:rRNA from 1 species
CAAUAGCGUAUAUUAAAGUUGUUGCAGUUAAAAAGCUCGUAGUUGGAUUUCUGGUGGGAGCGAUCGGUCUGGCGCUUAGCGCGAGUACUUGCAUCGUCUCCGGCCAUCCUUGGGGAGAGUCUGUCUGGCAUUAGGUUGUCGGGCAGAGGAUCCUCAUCGUUUACUGUGAAAAAAUUAGAGUGUUUAAAGCAGGCCUUCGCCUUGAAUACAUUAGCAUGGAAUAAUAAGAUAGGACUUUGGUCUAUUUUGUUGGUUUGCAGACCGAAGUAAUGAUUAAUAGGGAUAGUUGGGGGUAUUUAUAUUCCGAUGUCAGAGGUGAAAUUCUUAGAUUUUCGGAAGAUAAACUUAUGCGAAAGCAUUUACCAAGGAUGUUUUCAUUA